rnacentral:lncRNA from 1 species
CAGGUGCCGGAUAUCAUCUCGUGAAAUUCUAUGGCAGUACUGGCUGUGCCUGAGAAACCUCCUGCCACUCAAGCCCAGCAAGUCUUAUGAAGCAAGCUGCCUACAGAAAUGUCCAUGUGUCAGGAAACUGAAGCUGGCUCAUGGUCAGCAGCCAGCAAGCUACAAAGGGCUUCCAACAGCCCAUGAAGCACUGAGUCCUGCCAAAAGCCACGUGCAUGAGCUUAGAAGAGCUUCAUCCUCCAGGCUAGGAAAGAGACAGUCGGUGUGCAGCAAGAGAAAAGAGAGGAGGAAACAUGUGGAAAGACCCAAAGAAUGAAGACACAAGAGCAUGCCUGAAUGCAAUGGGAAGUAGAUCAGUUGACCUUUGCUGAAUAACAAGGUGGACCUAAAACUGGGUGACUUGAAACAGCACCAGACGACAUGAACCAUACUCCAAAAAUGAAAUACUGAUAAGAGGGGAUGGAGAGCUA